UGCAAGUCGAGCGAACAGAUGAGAAGCUUGCUUCUCUGAUGUUAGCGGCGGACGGGUGAGUAACACGUGGGUAACCUACCUAUAAGACUGGGAUAACUCCGGGAAACCGGGGCUAAUACCGGAUAAUAUUUUGAACCGCAUGGUUCAAUAGUGAAAGACGGUUUCGGCUGUCACUUAUAGAUGGACCCGCGCCGUAUUAGCUAGUUGGUAAGGUAACGGCUUACCAAGGCGACGAUACGUAGCCGACCUGAGAGGGUGAUCGGCCACACUGGAACUGAGACACGGUCCAGACUCCUACGGGAGGCAGCAGUAGGGAAUCUUCCGCAAUGGGCGAAAGCCUGACGGAGCAACGCCGCGUGAGUGAUGAAGGUCUUCGGAUCGUAAAACUCUGUUGUUAGGGAAGAACAAAUUUGUUAGUAACUGAACAAGUCUUGACGGUACCUAACCAGAAAGCCACGGCUAACUACGUGCCAGCAGCCGCGGUAAUACGUAGGUGGCAAGCGUUAUCCGGAAUUAUUGGGCGUAAAGCGCGCGUAGGCGGUUUCUUAAGUCUGAUGUGAAAGCCCACGGCUCAACCGUGGAGGGUCAUUGGAAACUGGGAAACUUGAGUGCAGAAGAGGAGAGUGGAAUUCCAUGUGUAGCGGUGAAAUGCGCAGAGAUAUGGAGGAACACCAGUGGCGAAGGCGGCUCUCUGGUCUGUAACUGACGCUGAUGUGCGAAAGCGUGGGGAUCAAACAGGAUUAGAUACCCUGGUAGUCCACGCCGUAAACGAUGAGUGCUAAGUGUUAGGGGGUUUCCGCCCCUUAGUGCUGCAGCUAACGCAUUAAGCACUCCGCCUGGGGAGUACGACCGCAAGGUUGAAACUCAAAGGAAUUGACGGGGACCCGCACAAGCGGUGGAGCAUGUGGUUUAAUUCGAAGCAACGCGAAGAACCUUACCAAAUCUUGACAUCCUUUGACCGCUCUAGAGAUAGAGUCUUCCCCUUCGGGGGACAAAGUGACAGGUGGUGCAUGGUUGUCGUCAGCUCGUGUCGUGAGAUGUUGGGUUAAGUCCCGCAACGAGCGCAACCCUUAAGCUUAGUUGCCAUCAUUAAGUUGGGCACUCUAGGUUGACUGCCGGUGACAAACCGGAGGAAGGUGGGGAUGACGUCAAAUCAUCAUGCCCCUUAUGAUUUGGGCUACACACGUGCUACAAUGGAUAAUACAAAGGGCAGCGAAUCCGCGAGGCCAAGCAAAUCCCAUAAAAUUAUUCUCAGUUCGGAUUGUAGUCUGCAACUCGACUACAUGAAGCUGGAAUCGCUAGUAAUCGUAGAUCAGCAUGCUACGGUGAAUACGUUCCCGGGUCUUGUACACACCGCCCGUCACACCACGAGAGUUUGUAACACCCGAAGCCGGUGGAGUAACCUUUUAGGAG
rnacentral:rRNA from 1 species